CUUGUGUGUAUUUUUUACUUUUUUCUUAUUUUAUCUACUUUAUGUGUUUUUAUUUUAUUUUGUUAAAGAGGAAGCUGUUGUUGUUCGAUUUAAAAAUUUCACAAAUACUCAAAAAGACGUCGACAUUAAAGAUAAAGAAAGGAAAAAGAAGAAAAAAAAAGAAAACACCCUACGAAUCUGUCAUUAGAUCUCUAAGUAUGUCUGCAAAUAGGAGUGUAAAAAAAGGAGAAAAACUUAUCUUUUUUCCCCCUUCCAACAAUGCAAACGGGGCAGAAAUAAUUUUACCAGCAAAUGACAAAGCCAGAAGCGACCGAACGAUAUUUCCUCACUUCUUUACUUUGAAAGAGAAUCGAAAAGGUUGGCCGUACUGUAGCUAUUUCUGAGUACGUCUUGUGCACACCGCGUAUUGGGAGGAGUCGUACAUAGUGAAAAAUGUCGCUAAAGGUAUGGCGACUGUCAAUGUUAGAUCAGCGAUAGUUUUCCCUAGAGGAUUCUUCUGCUAGAGAGGAUGGGGAUCACGGUUAAAAAGAAGAAGAAGAAGAAGAAGAAAAAACCUGUCCCAAUUUUUAGACAGAUGCUCGAUGGCUCCGAGAACGUAGCUCACCUGAAUCUACGUCCGAUGAUGGAUAAGACGAAAGAAAUGCUAGGAAAACGUUUACAGAGGAGAAGCGCGGUUUAUAACUCUUCUUUGGGAGUCAGGUGAUGAUGGUGUGUGAUGUAAGCAGUCUUCAUUCUUUCUCGGCGAUUUGGUCUGUUUCCAUCUUUCUCCCCCUCUCCUUUUCUUGAUCGUUAGAGAGUCUGCGAGGAUUUUACGCUAAAUUUGCUACCGGACAACCUUUCCGAAAUACCGUUGAGAGACUAUUAUCUCAACUCUCAUCGACCAUUUCCAAUACUUGAGACUAGAUAAACGUACAAAUGUUUCAUUUCGACCGUUAGAGAUAAAGAGCGCGCAGUAGAAUAUAUAAAAAAAAAAAAAAAAAAAAAAAAUGUAAAAUUUGUAAAUUAUGCAUACUUUUUAAGCAUUUUUUACCUUUACUGUGGGUCCUUUCCUCUCCUUUAUCUCUGGGGCUUUACUGAAAAUUCACUAUUUUGUUAUAGUUCUAAUAUGAUUUAACUGCUCUCUAGAUUUAAGAUGCAUUUUCUGCUGAGCCAUUUCAGUUUUUCACAUAUAAAAUGAUUCCCUAUGGUAUAGGAUAGAAUUCAUCCACCAUAUCACCCAUGUGCCAUAAGUAACUAAAGCGUGUCCUCUUUCUUCUGUUAAUGACUGUCACGCUUCUGGCAGCAUCCUUUUCCUGUUCUCCUCCAUGUUUAGCAGGAGGAGAAGAGGGAAAGGAUGUUGCCAGAAAAGAUUUUUUUUCAUCAUGCAUUUUUUUUCCUACUUUCUCAUCUUGUCUUUUCAUUCUUCAAAAAUUUAGAUCUCCUGAGUGUUUCCUGAUUUCUUUCAAUAAAGAGUAUUAUAAAAUAUAAUUUUAAAUUAUG
rnacentral:lncRNA from 1 species